CGAGCGACGGAUAAGGAGCUUGCUCCUUUGAAGUUAGCGGCGGACGGGUGAGUAACACGUGGGUAACCUACCUAUAAGACUGGAAUAACUUCGGGAAACCGGAGCUAAUGCCGGAUAACAUAUAGAACCGCAUGGUUCUAUAGUGAAAGAUGGUUUUGCUAUCACUUAUAGAUGGACCCGCGCCGUAUUAGCUAGUUGGUAAGGUAAUGGCUUACCAAGGCGACGAUACGUAGCCGACCUGAGAGGGUGAUCGGCCACACUGGAACUGAGACACGGUCCAGACUCCUACGGGAGGCAGCAGUAGGGAAUCUUCCGCAAUGGGCGAAAGCCUGACGGAGCAACGCCGCGUGAGUGAUGAAGGUUUUCGGAUCGUAAAACUCUGUUAUUAGGGAAGAACAAAUGCGUAAGUAACUGUGCGCAUCUUGACGGUACCUAAUCAGAAAGCCACGGCUAACUACGUGCCAGCAGCCGCGGUAAUACGUAGGUGGCAAGCGUUAUCCGGAAUUAUUGGGCGUAAAGCGCGCGUAGGCGGUUUCUUAAGUCUGAUGUGAAAGCCCACGGCUCAACCGUGGAGGGUCAUUGGAAACUGGGAAACUUGAGUGCAGAAGAGGAAAGUGGAAUUCCAUGUGUAGCGGUGAAAUGCGCAGAGAUAUGGAGGAACACCAGUGGCGAAGGCGACUUUCUGGUCUGUAACUGACGCUGAUGUGCGAAAGCGUGGGGAUCAAACAGGAUUAGAUACCCUGGUAGUCCACGCCGUAAACGAUGAGUGCUAAGUGUUAGGGGGUUUCCGCCCCUUAGUG
rnacentral:rRNA from 1 species